GACGAACGCUGGCGGCAUGCCUCAUACAUGCAAGUAGAACGCAGUUGCGAACGGGGGAGUAACGCGUAGGUAACUGCCUCAUAGCGGGGGAUAAAUAUUGGAAACGAUAGCUAAUACCGCAUACUGUGCCAUGGACCUGAGUUGCAUUAGCUAGUUGGUGAGGUAAAGGCUCACAAAGGCGACGAUCCAUAGCCGACCUGAGAGGGUGGUCGGCCACCAUGGGAAUGAGACACGGCCGAUACUCCAACGGGCGGCAGCAGUAGGGAAAUUUCGGAAAUGGACGGAAGUCUGACCGAGCAAAGCCGCGUGAGUGAAGAAGGUUUGCGGAUCGUAAAGGGCUGUUGUGAGAGGAGCGUUAACUAACCAGAAAGGGACGGCUAACUACGUGCCAGCAGCCGCGGUAAUUC
rnacentral:rRNA from 1 species